GGGUUGUGAGGUUAAGCGACUAAGCGUACACGGUGGAUGCCCUGGCAGUCAGAGGCGAUGAAGGACGUGCUAAUCUGCGAAAAGCGUCGGUAAGGUGAUAUGAACCGUUACAGCCGGCGAUGUCCGAAUGGGGAAACCCAGUGCAAUUCGUUGCACUAUCGUUAACUGAAUACAUAGGUUAACGAGGCGAACCGGGGGAACUGAAACAUCUAAGUACCCCGAGGAAAAAAAUCAACCGAGAUUCCCCAGUAGCGGCGAGCGAACGGGGAGCAGCCCAGAGUCUGAAUCAGCUUGUGUGUUAGUGGAACGGUCUGGAAAGUCCGACGGUACAGGGUGAUAGUCCCGUACACCAAAAUGCACAGGCUGUGAACUCGAAGAGUAGGGCGGGACACGUGGUAUCCUGUCUGAAUAUGGGGGGACCAUCCUCCAAGGCUAAAUACUCCUGACUGACCGAUAGUGAACCAGUACCGUGAGGGAAAGGCGAAAAGAACCCCGGCGAGGGGAGUGAAAAAGAACCUGAAACCGUGUACGUACAAGCAGUGGGAGCACCUUCGGGUGUGACUGCGUACCUUUUGUAUAAUGGGUCAGCGACUUAUAUUCUGUAGCAAGGUUAACCGUAUAGGGGAGCCGCAGGGAAACCGAGUCUUAACUGGGCGUUAAGUUGCAGGGUAUAGACCCGAAACCCGGUGAUCUAGCCAUGGGCAGGUUGAAGGUUGGGUAACACUAACUGGAGGACCGAACCGACUAAUGUUGAAAAAUUAGCGGAUGACUUGUGGCUGGGGGUGAAAGGCCAAUCAAACCGGGAGAUAGCUGGUUCUCCCCGAAAGCUAUUUAGGUAGCGCCUCGUGAAUUCAUCUUCGGGGUAGAGCACUGUUUCGGCUAGGGGGUCAUCCCGACUUACCAACCCGAUGCAAACUACGAAUACCGAAGAAUGUUAUCACGGGAGACACACGGCGGGUGCUAACGUCCGUCGUGAAGAGGGAAACAACCCAGACCGCCAGCUAAGGUCCCAAAGUCAUGGUUAAGUGGGAAACGAUGUGGGAAGGCACAGACAGCCAGGAUGUUGGCUUAGAAGCAGCCAUCAUUUAAAGAAAGCGUAAUAGCUCACUGGUCGAGUCGGCCUGCGCGGAAGAUGUAACGGGGCUAAACCAUGCACCGAAGCUGCGGCAGCGACACUAUGUGUUGUUGGGUAGGGGAGCGUUCUGUAAGCCUGCGAAGGUGACCUGUGAGGGUUGCUGGAGGUAUCAGAAGUGCGAAUGCUGACAUAAGUAACGAUAAAGCGGGUGAAAAGCCCGCUCGCCGGAAGACCAAGGGUUCCUGUCCAACGUUAAUCGGGGCAGGGUGAGUCGACCCCUAAGGCGAGGCCGAAAGGCGUAGUCGAUGGGAAACAGGUUAAUAUUCCUGUACUUGGUGUUACUGCGAAGGGGGGACGGAGAAGGCUAUGUUAGCCGGGCGACGGUUGUCCCGGUUUAAGCAUGUAGGCUGGUUAUCCAGGCAAAUCCGGAUAAUCAAGGCUGAGGUGUGAUGACGAGGCACUACGGUGCUGAAGUAACAAAUGCCCUGCUUCCAGGAAAAGCCUCUAAGCAUCAGGUAACAUCAAAUCGUACCCCAAACCGACACAGGUGGUCAGGUAGAGAAUACCAAGGCGCUUGAGAGAACUCGGGUGAAGGAACUAGGCAAAAUGGUGCCGUAACUUCGGGAGAAGGCACGCUGGUGUGUAGGUGAAGUCCCUGCGGAUGGAGCUGAGACCAGUCGAAGAUACCAGCUGGCUGCAACUGUUUAUUAAAAACACAGCACUGUGCAAACACGAAAGUGGACGUAUACGGUGUGACGCCUGCCCGGUGCCGGAAGGUUAAUUGAUGGGGUUAUCCGUAAGGAGAAGCUCUUGAUCGAAGCCCCGGUAAACGGCGGCCGUAACUAUAACGGUCCUAAGGUAGCGAAAUUCCUUGUCGGGUAAGUUCCGACCUGCACGAAUGGCGUAAUGAUGGCCAGGCUGUCUCCACCCGAGACUCAGUGAAAUUGAACUCGCUGUGAAGAUGCAGUGUACCCGCGGCAAGACGGAAAGACCCCGUGAACCUUUACUAUAGCUUGACACUGAACAUUGAGCCUUGAUGUGUAGGAUAGGUGGGAGGCUUUGAAGCGUGGACGCCAGUCUGCGUGGAGCCAACCUUGAAAUACCACCCUUUAAUGUUUGAUGUUCUAACGUUGGCCCCUGACCGGGGUUGCGGACAGUGUCUGGUGGGUAGUUUGACUGGGGCGGUCUCCUCCCAAAGCGUAACGGAGGAGCACGAAGGUUAGCUAAUCCUGGUCGGACAUCAGGAGGUUAGUGCAAUGGCAUAAGCUAGCUUGACUGCGAGCGUGACGGCGCGAGCAGGUGCGAAAGCAGGUCAUAGUGAUCCGGUGGUUCUGAAUGGAAGGGCCAUCGCUCAACGGAUAAAAGGUACUCCGGGGAUAACAGGCUGAUACCGCCCAAGAGUUCAUAUCGACGGCGGUGUUUGGCACCUCGAUGUCGGCUCAUCACAUCCUGGGGCUGAAGUAGGUCCCAAGGGUAUGGCUGUUCGCCAUUUAAAGUGGUACGCGAGCUGGGUUUAGAACGUCGUGAGACAGUUCGGUCCCUAUCUGCCGUGGGCGCUGGAGAAUUGAGGGGGGCUGCUCCUAGUACGAGAGGACCGGAGUGGACGCAUCACUGGUGUUCGGGUUGUCAUGCCAAUGGCACUGCCCGGUAGCUAAAUGCGGAAGAGAUAAGUGCUGAAAGCAUCUAAGCACGAAACUUGCCCCGAGAUGAGUUCUCCCUGAGACUUUAAGUCUCCUGAAGGAACGUUAAAGACGAUGACGUUGAUAGGCCGGGUGUGUAAGCGCAGCGAUGCGUUGAGCUAACCGGUACUAAUGAACCGUGAGGCUUAACCUUACAACGCCGAAG
rnacentral:rRNA from 1 species